CGAGCCGUGUACUCCCACAGGGCGUCGGGGUCGAUCAGCGCCUGAUCGCCGAAGUAGGCGCCGUCGGCCAGCAUGCCGAGUUCGGCGUCGUCCCCGUACGGGCCCGUGCCGAUCUUCUCGACCUUGCCGUGGGCCAGCAGGAACACCUCGUCGUUCGUGCUGCCGAAGGAGGCGAUCUCCGAGCCGGGCGCGAACUCCCGCUGCUGGCAGCGCCGGGCGAGCUCGGCGAACACCUCCUCGUCCUCGUAGGUCCGCAGUGCCGGCAACUCGGACAGUUCAGCGGGGACCACUUCCACACGGUCACCGGUCUUCACGAACGUCAGACGGCCGUCUCCCACGGAGUAGGUGAGCCGCCGGUUCACACGGUAUGCGCCACCCUGCACGUUCACCCACGGAAGCAUCCGCAGCAGCCAGCGCGAGCUGAUCUCCUGCAUCUGGGGUACGGAUUUGGUGGUGGUGGCCAGGUUCCGCGCGGCCGAUGUGCCAAGACUCUGCUGAGGCUUGUCCU
rfam:Streptomyces sp. NRRL WC-3618 P435contig41.1, whole genome shotgun sequence.